CAGCCGCCGCGGGAAUACGGAGGGUGCGAGCGUUAAUCGGAAUUACUGGGCGUAAAGCGUACGCAGGCGGUUUGUUAAGUCAGAUGUGAAAUCCCCGAGCUUAACUCGGGAACUGCAUUUGAGACUGGCAGGCUAGAGUCUCGUAGAGGGGGGUAGAAUUCCAGGUGUAGCGGUGGAAUGCGUAGAGAUCUGGAGGAAUACCGGUGGCGAAGGCGGCCAUCUGGGACAACACUGACGCUGAAGCACGAAAGCGUGGGGAGCAAACAGGAUUAGAUACCCCAGUAGUCCCUGUCUCUUAUAC
rnacentral:rRNA from 1 species